rnacentral:rRNA from 1 species
UACGGGGGGGGCAAGCGUUGUUCGGAAUUACUGGGCGUAAAGGGCGCGUAGGCGGCCUACUAAGUCGGACGUGAAAUCCCUCGGCUCAACCGGGGAACUGCGUCCGAUACUGGUGGGCUUGAAUCCGGGAGAGGGAUGUGGAAUUCCAGGUGUAGCGGUGAAAUGCGCAGAUAUCAGGAAGAACACCCGUGGCGAAAGCGGCUCUCUGGAACGGUACUGACGCUGAGACGCGAAAGCGUGGGGAGCGAACAGG